rnacentral:rRNA from 1 species
AUUGAACGCUGGCGGCAUGCCUUACACAUGCAAGUCGAACGGCAGCACGGGAGCAAUCCUGGUGGCGAGUGACGAACGGGUGAGUAAUAUAUCGGAACGUGCCCGGUCGUGGGGGAUAACGUAGCGAAAGCUACGCUAAUACCGCAUACGAUCUACGGAUGAAAGCGGGGGAUCGCAAGACCUCGCGCGAUUGGAGCGGCCGAUAUCAGAUUAGGUAGUUGGUGAGGUAAAGGCUCACCAAGCCGACGAUCUGUAGCUGGUCUGAGAGGACGACCAGCCACACUGGGACUGAGACACGGCCCAGACUCCUACGGGAGGCAGCAGUGGGGAAUUUUGGACAAUGGGCGCAAGCCUGAUCCAGCAAUGCCGCGUGCAGGAUGAAGGCCUUCGGGUUGUAAACUGCUUUUGUACGGAACGAAACGGUGAGCUCUAAUACAGUUUGCUAAUGACGGUACCGUAAGAAUAAGCACCGGCUAACUACGUG